AAAGAGGUGCUUGGUGAUCCCUGCAAGAAGCAAACCCAAAGAUGGAUAUGGAGAAAGACCAAGAUGUGACCUUGUUUGUGUGCAAUGAUGCAAAUGAUAUAUGGGAUCUUAGGGUUAAAAAUUAGGGUAGGACAAUAGGGUUGAAAGAGUCUUGUUUGGAGUUGUGUGAGAUUGAAUAACUAUAGUUGUGAUAUUUCAUUCAAAAGUUGGCAGAAAAAGAAAAAAAAUAUAUGUAGAAAAAGAAGAAGAAAAAAAUGGAAAAAAUAAAGAAAGAUGUCAUUACAUUUUCUUUCUGAAAAAAAGAGAGAAUAAAAAGUUAAAAGAGAA
rnacentral:lncRNA from 1 species